AAUAAAGUGCCUGACAAAAGGGUUAUCUUGAUAGGAUAAAACAUGUAAUAUAUUUUACCUUUAUUA
rnacentral:tRNA from 1 species